AUUUUGCCAAGGAAGAUCAGUUUGAAUGGGCUGACUCAAGUUGGAACAAGCAGCCCCGGAGGUGGCAUUAUUAUUUCUCCUCCCCUUAGGAUACUUAUGGUUUCACCUAUUUUUAGGAUAUCCAACAAAGUGGAUAUCCUACAAGAUUCCAAUGGAAGAUGCACCGCCUCUCUCUAAAGCUUUUUCCAUGCUAGAAAAAGCGAACAACUGUUGAAUCUCGAGGAGUACAGCUUUUCUUUGAACACUUUGGAAGAGGUUUUCCUAGAACUUUGCAAAGAGCAAGAGCGAGAUUAUUUUGAUUUGCCUCCGAAUACAACUUUUGAUUGGAAGAAACUUCAAGAAGGUGAUCUCUAAAUCGUCAACACAUUUUUUAAAAAAAGAACAGUAAUGAUACACGCACCGAUUCCUUGAUCUAGAAGAGAGAAUAUUCUCUAGAUAAUGGGACUUAUAAUCUGCUACUUAGAAUGCAAGUCU